UACGGAGGAUGCAAGCGUUAUCCGGAAUGAUUGGGCGUAAAGCGUCCGCAGGUGGCUAUGUAAGUCUGCUGUUAAAGAGUGAGGCUCAACCUCAUAAGAGCAGUGGAAACUACAUGGCUAGAGUGCGUUCGGGGCAGAGGGAAUUCCUGGUGUAGCGGUGGAAUGCGUAGAUAUCAGGAAGAACACCGGUGGCGAAAGCGCUCUGCUAGGCCGCAACUGACACUGAGGGACGAAAGCUAGGGGAGCGAAUGGG
rnacentral:rRNA from 1 species